CCUACUUGACAUCCACGGAAUUUAGCAGAGAUGCUUUAGUGCCUUCGGGAACCGUGAGACAGGUGCUGCAUGGCUGUCGUCAGCUCGUGUUGUGAAAUGUUGGGUUAAGUCCCGNAACGAGCGCAACCCUUAUCCUUUGUUGCCAGCGGUUCGGCCGGGAACUCAAAGGAGACUGCCAGUGAUAAACUGGAGGAAGGUGGGGAUGACGUCAAGUCAUCAUGGCCCUUACGAGUAGGGCUACACACGUGCUACAAUGGCGUAUACAAAGAGAAGCGACCUCGCGAGAGCAAGCGGACCUCAUAAAGUACGUCGUAGUCCGGAUUGGAGUCUGCAACUCGACUCCAUGAAGUCGGAAUCGCUAGUAAUCGUGGAUCAGAAUGCUACGGUGAAUACGUUCCCGGGCCUUGUACACACCGCCCGUCACACCAUGGGAGUGGGUUGCAAAAGAAGUAGGUAGCUUAACCUUCGGGAGGGCGCUUACCACUUUGUGAUUCAUGACUGGGGUGAAGUCGUAACAAGGUAGGCGUAGAUGA
rnacentral:rRNA from 1 species